rnacentral:rRNA from 1 species
UACGAGUGCCCCAAGCGUUAUCCGGAAUCACUGGGCGUAAAGGGUGUGUAGGUGGCAUUAUUAGUCUCCUGUUAAAACUUUCGGCUUAACCGAAAGAGCGCGGGGGAAACGGUAAUACUAGAGGGUGUGAGAGGUCUGUGGAACUCAAGGUGUAGGGGUGAAAUCCGUUGAUAUCUUGGGGAACACCAAAUGCGAAGGCAGCAGACUGGCACAUUACUGACACUGAGACACGAAAGCGUGGGUUUCGAACGGG